CAUGUGGCAGAAGAGAUCCAGGAAAGGACACGGUUUAAGCCUCCUAAAUUCAGAGGCUUUUUGCUUCAAAUAAGAGAGCAGAGGCAAGAGGCAACCCAAUAGCCACAGAUUUCUCUGCAACACCAAUUUCUAUUAGGGAGAAGUCAAGAAGGAACCAUACCCAAACUAUACUCAAAGCAGAGAAUACAGACUUCUUCAAAAUUGAUGCAUCUAAAUUAAGGAUUUUUUGUGUGUGAAAGGCCUUGGAUAAAUUUUUGGGUCCUGUAGAAGGCAAGGCCACCUGGCCACCAACAACAGCUGGGCGUUGGACCAGGCCAAACAGAAGCCCUCUCUCUAUCUCCAUUCCACUGAGGUGGAGGCAUGGCCAGGUAGAAGAGAAGGCAGGAAGCAGUGAUCAACUGGAAAACUACCAUGAACAAAACCCCAAGUACUACCACAAAAACAUGAAAACCCAGGGCAAAAAAUCCUAAGAAAAUACUGUAAUAGGUUACCUUUAUGUGAAUGAGUCUUCACGCUGGCCUAGACUGAGUCACUCUGGGAACUGCCUCGCGGUCCAUCUGGCUGCCAACUCCUGGCUAAACCUGAACAUCCUGUGACUGAAAUGGAUGCAUCAAAGCCUAAGGCACCGCAAGGUAUUCUCAGCGCCCACACAAAAGAAAGAGGCUCAGCAGCACCCUUAAUGAGACACACUAGCACCUCCAGACUGCACUAAACAGUUUGGCACCCAGCCUCUAAAGCUGUUUUCAAGGGGCUGUUGCUCAGGUUUGUUUUUAGUUUCCUAUUAUCUGCAGCCCGGCUAAUGAACACCCUAGGAAGUGUUUCCUUGAAAGUGGUGGUACAACAGCCUCUGUGUUCCACCCUGGCUGAACAGCAACCCAACCUGAGUUCCCUGCUUCUGGGAAGCAAAAUAAGCAGGAUCCUCCGUGAAAGAACAAGCCUGUCAGAAUGAAAAUCUGCACCUUCACAAAAGGGCAAUGACAAUCUCUAACUUUCUGCCUGGUGAUGCCUACAAAA